ACAGGGAUUGCCCUAGUAACGGCGAGUGAAGCGGCAACAGCUCAAAUUUGAAAUCUGGCUCUUUUAGAGUCCGAGUUGUAAUUUGCAGAGGGCGCUUUGGCUUUGGCAGCGGUCCAAGUUCCUUGGAACAGGACGUCACAGAGGGUGAGAAUCCCGUACGUGGUCGCUGGCUAUUGCCGUGUAAAGCCCCUUCGACGAGUCGAGUUGUUUGGGAAUGCAGCUCUAAAUGGGAGGUACAUUUCUUCUAAAGCUAAAUAUUGGCCAGAGACCGAUAGCGCACAAGUAGAGUGAUCGAAAGAUGAAAAGCACUUUGGAAAGAGAGUCAAACAGCACGUGAAAUUGUUGAAAGGGAAGCGCUUGCAGCCAGACUUGCUUGCAGUUGCUCAUCCGGGCUUUUGCCCGGUGCACUCUUCUGUAGGCAGGCCAGCAUCAGUUUGGGCGGUAGGAUAAAGGUCUCUGUCACGUACCUCCUUUCGGGGAGGCCUUAUAGGGGAGGCGACAUACUACCAGCCUGGACUGAGGUCCGCGCAUCUGCUAGGAUGCUGGCGUAAUGGCUGUAAGCGGCCCGUCUUGAAACACGGACCAAGGAGUCUAACAUCUAUGCGAGUGUUUGGGUGUCAAGCCCGAGCGCGUAAUGAAAGUGAACGGAGGUGGGAACCCGCAAGGGUGCACCAUCGACCGAUCCUGAUGUCUUCGGAAGGAUUUGAGUAAGAGCAUGGCUGUUGGGACCCGAAAGAUGGUGAACUAUGCUUGAAUAGGGUGAAGCCAGAGGAAACUCUGGUGGAGGCUCGCAGCGGUUCUGACGUGCAAAUCGAUCGUCAAAUUUGGGCAUAGGGGCGAAAGACUAAU
rnacentral:rRNA from 5 species